UCCUAGGGACCUCUGCUGAUUGAUCUUCU
rnacentral:piRNA from 1 species